AUGCACGCUGGCGGCGUGCCUCAUCCAUGCAAGUCGAGCGAACAGACGAGGAGCUUGCUCCUCUGACGUUAGCGGCGGACGGGUGAGUAACACGUGGAUAACCUACCUAUAAGACUGGGAUAACUUCGGGAAACCGGAGCUAAUACCGGAUAAUAUAUUGAACCGCAUGGUUCAAUAGUGAAAGACGGUUUUGCUGUCACUUAUAGAUGGAUCCGCGCCGCAUUAGCUAGUUGGUAAGGUAACGGCUUACCAAGGCAACGAUGCGUAGCCGACCUGAGAGGGUGAUCGGCCACACUGGAACUGAGACACGGUCCAGACUCCUACGGGAGGCAGCAGUAGGGAAUCUUCCGCAAUGGGCGAAAGCCUGACGGAACAACGCCGCGUGAGUGAUGAAGGUCUUCGGAUCGUAAAACUCUGUUAUUAGGGAAGAACAAAUGUGUAAGUAACUAUGCACGUCUUGACGGUACCUAAUCAGAAAGCCACGGCUAACUACGUG
rnacentral:rRNA from 1 species